UUCCCCAUUCCCACAUUCCCAGAAUUCCCGUUAUUCCCUCAGGAUGCAGGNGAUUACUGGGAUUGGGAAUUCCCGGAUUUCUGACAACUCCAAGAUUGGGGUGAAUUCCCAAAUUUCCAAAGCUGAGAAUUCCCAGGAUCCCAAGGCCAAGAAUUCCCAGAUUUCUGGGAUUGGGGAAAAUUCCCGGAUUUCCGGGGCUGGAAAUUCCCAGAUUUCUGGGGUUGGGAAUUCUGGGAUUGCUGAGAAUUCCCAAAUUUCCAAACUCGAGAAUUCCCAGAUUUCCAAGGCUGAGAAUUCCCAGAUUUCCAACAUUGGCAAUUCUCAGAUUUCUCAGGUUGGGAAUUCUGGCAUUGAUGGGAAUUCCCAAAUUUCCAACAUUGAGAAUUCCCAAAUUUCCAAGGCCGAGAAUUCCCAAAUUUCUAAUUCUGAAAAUUCCCACAUUUCCGAGCUCAGGAAUUCCCAAAUUUCCAAUGCUGAAAAUUCCCACAUUUCUGAGCUCAAGAAUUCCCAGAUUUCCAACGCUGAGCAUUCCCAGAUUUCCAGCAUUGAAAAUUCCCGGAUUUUCCGGGCCGGGGUCCGGCCCCGUGUGCGGCUCCCCCAGGGCGGCGCCUUCUUCCGAUCCCAGAGCCGAUCCCGGAAAAUUCCGGCAAAAUCCCAAAAAUCCCCCGGGGAGGAUCCGCGGGAAAUGGCGCCGAAAGUUCCGGAAACGGGAAAGGAAAAUCGGGAAAACGGCGGGAACGAGGUGAGGGAGCGCGGGAAUUUUGGGAAUUUUGGGGAUUUUGGGAAUUCUGGGAAUUUUGGGAGUUUUCUUGGGAAUUUCCAGGAAUUUUCUUGGGAAUUCUUGGGAAUUUCUGGGAUUUUUUGGAAAUUUCUGGGACUUUUCUUGGGAAGUGAUUUUCAGGGAAUUCCUGAGGAAUUUUUAGGAAUUUCAGGAGGGUGUUUGGGAAUUUCUGGGAAUUUUCUUGGAAAUUUCUGGGAUUUUUUUGGAAAUUUUGGAGAAUUUCCUUGGGAAUUUCUGGAAUUGUCAAUGAUUUUCAGNCUCUGAGGGAGCUCCGAGGCGGCUUU
rnacentral:lncRNA from 1 species